GAUGAACGCUGGCGGCGUGCCUAAUACAUGCAAGUCGAGCGAACAGAUAAGGAGCUUGCUCCUCUGACGUUAGCGGCGGACGGGUGAGUAACACGUGGAUAACCUACCUAUAAGACUGGGAUAACUUCGGGAAACCGGGGCUAAUACCGGAUAAUAUAUUGAACGGCAUGGUUCAUUAGUGAAAGACGGUUUUGCUGUCACUUAUGGAUGGAUCCGCGCCGCAUUAGCUAGUUGGUAAGGUAACGGCUUACCAAGGCAACGAUGCGUAGCCGACCUGAGAGGGUGAUCGGCCACACUGGAACUGAGACACGGUCCAGACUCCUACGGGAGGCAGCAGUAGGGAAUCUUCCGCAAUGGGCGAAAGCCUGACGGAGCAACGCCGCGUGAGUGAUGAAGGUCUUCGGAUCGUAAAACUCUGUUAUUAGGGAAGAACAAAUGUGUAAGUAACUAUGCACGUCUUGACGGUACCUAAUCAGAAAGCCACGGCUAACUACGUG
rnacentral:rRNA from 1 species